rnacentral:lncRNA from 1 species
GGACCACGUGGAAAACCAGGACCCAAAGGAGAAAAGGGGGAGCAUGGAAGUAAUGGUCUACCAGGUGUACCAGGAGCAGUGGGAGUGGAUGGACUUCCAGGACUUCCUGGUCAGAAGGGGGAGAAGGGAGAGGAAGGUAUCGGAAUUCAGGGUGUUCAAGGUCCACCUGGGCCAAAAGGAGAAAAGGGUAAUACAGGACUACAAGGCCCAGAGGGCCAAGCAGGAAACCAAGGAGUCCAAGGGAUCACAGGGCCUCGGGUUUGUCAAACUCUACACAACCAUUUAACAUCAAAGUGUUUCGUCUUUCAAUU